rnacentral:rRNA from 1 species
UGGGGAAUCUUAGACAAUGGGGGCAACCCUGAUCUAGCCAUGCCGCGUGAGUGAUGAAGGCCUUAGGGUUGUAAAGCUCUUUCAGCUGGGAAGAUAAUGACGGUACCAGCAGAAGAAGCCCCGGCUAACUCCGUGCCAGCAGCCGCGGUAAUACGGAGGGGGCUAGCGUUGUUCGGAAUUACUGGGCGUAAAGCGCACGUAGGCGGAUUGGAAAGUUGGGGGUGAAAUCCCGGGGCUCAACCCCGGAACUGCCUCCAAAACUACCAGUCUUGAGGUCGAGAGAGGUGAGUGGAAUUCCGAGUGUAGAGGUGAAAUUCGUAGAUAUUCGGAGGAACACCAGUGGCGAAGGCGGCUCACUGGCUCGAUACUGACGCUGAGGUGCGAAAGCGUGGGGAGCAAACAG